rnacentral:rRNA from 1 species
UUGAACGCUGGCGGCAGGCCUAACACCUGCAAGUCGAGCGGAUGAAGGGAGCUUGCUCCUGGAUUCAGCGGCGGACGGGUGAGUAAUGCCUAGGAAUCUGCCUGGUAGUGGGGGAUAACGUCCGGAAACGGGCGCUAAUACCGCAUACGUCCUGAGGGGGAAAGUGGGGGAUCUUCGGACCUCACGCUAUCAGAUGAGCCUAGGUCGGAUUAGCUAGUUGGUGGGGUAAAGGCCUACCAAGGCGACGAUCCGUAACUGGUCUGAGAGGAUGAUCAGUCACACUGGAACUGAGACACGGUCCAGACUCCUACGGGAGGCAGCAGUGGGGAAUAUUGGACAAUGGGCGAAAGCCUGAUCCAGCCAUGCCGCGUGUGUGAAGAAGGUCUUCGGAUUGUAAAGCACUUUAAGUUGGGAGGAAGGGCAGUAAGUUAAUACCUUGCUGUUUUGACGUUACCAACAGAAUAAGCACCGGCUAACUUCGUG